AUCAGUUUGGUUUGCUUGCAAACCAAAGCUGGCGACCGGCGCACGGGUGAGUAACACGUAUCCAACCUGCCUCAUACUCGGGGAUAGCCUUUCGAAAGAAAGAUUAAUAUCCGAUAGCAUAUAUUUCCCGCAUGGGUUUUAUAUUAAAGAAAUUCGGUAUGAGAUGGGGAUGCGUUCCAUUAGUUUGUUGGCGGGGUAACGGCCCACCAAGACUACGAUGGAUAGGGGUUCUGAGAGGAAGGUCCCCCACAUUGGAACUGAGACACGGUCCAAACUCCUACGGGAGGCAGCAGUGAGGAAUAUUGGUCAAUGGACGCGAGUCUGAACCAGCCAAGUAGCGUGAAGGAUGACUGCCCUAUGGGUUGUAAACUUCUUUUAUAUGGGAAUAAAGUGGUCCACGUGUGGAUUUUUGUAUGUACCAUAUGAAUAAGGAUCGGCUAACUCCGUGCCAGCAGCCGCGGUAAUACGGAGGAUCCGAGCGUUAUCCGGAUUUAUUGGGUUUAAAGGGAGCGUAGGCGGAUUGUUAAGUCAGUUGUGAAAGUUUGCGGCUCAACCGUAAAAUUGCAGUUGAUACUGGCAGUCUUGAGUGCAGUAGAGGUGGGCGGAAUUCGUGGUGUAGCGGUGAAAUGCUUAGAUAUCACGAAGAACUCCGAUUGCGAAGGCAGCUCACUGGAGUGUAACUGACGCUGACGCUCGAAAGU
rnacentral:rRNA from 1 species